rnacentral:rRNA from 1 species
UACGUAGGUGGCAAGCGUUGUCCGGAAUUACUGGGCGUAAAGGGCGCGUAGGCGGUCUUCUAAGUCUUGUGUGAAAUCCCUCGGCUCAACUGAGGAACUGCACGGGAUACUGGAAGACUUGAGUUCGGGAGAGGGAAGCGGAAUUCCGGGUGUAGCGGUGAGAUGCGUAGAUAUCCGGAGGAACACCGGUGGCGAAGGCGGCUUCCUGGACCGAUCACUGACGCUGAGGCGCGAAAGCUAGGGGAGCAAACGGG